AUUGAACGCUGGCGGCAGGCUUAACACAUGCAAGUCGAGCGGUAACGGAGAGAAGCUUGCUUCUCUGCUGACGAGCGGCGGACGGGUGAGUAAUGCCUAGGAAUCUGCCUAGUAGUGGGGGAUAACUUGCCGAAAGGUAAGCUAAUACCGCAUACGUCCUACGGGAGAAAGGAGGGGACCUUCGGGCCUUUCGCUAUUAGAUGAGCCUAGGUCGGAUUAGUUAGUUGGUGAGGUAAUGGCUCACCAAGACCGCGAUCCGUAACUGGUCUGAGAGGGUGAUCAGUCACACUGGAACUGAGACACGGUCCAGACUCCUACGGGAGGCAGCAGUGGGGAAUAUUGGACAAUGGGGGGAACCCUGAUCCAGCCAUGCCGCGUGUGUGAAGAAGGUCUUAGGAUUGUAAAGCACUUUAAGUUGGGAGGAAGAGCAGUUAACUAAUAUUUGACUGUUUUGACGUUACCGACAGAAUAAGCACCGGCUAACUUCGUGCCAGCAGCCGCCGUAA
rnacentral:rRNA from 1 species